rnacentral:rRNA from 1 species
GAUGAACGCUGGCGGCGUGCCUAAUACAUGCAAGUCGAGCGAAUGGAUUAAGAGCUUGCUCUUAUGAAGUUAGCGGCGGACGGGUGAGUAACACGUGGGUAACCUGCCCAUAAGACUGGGAUAACUCCGGGAAACCGGGGCUAAUACCGGAUAACAUUUUGAACCGCAUGGUUCGAAAUUGAAAGGCGGCUUCGGCUGUCACUUAUGGAUGGACCCGCGUCGCAUUAGCUAGUUGGUGAGGUAACGGCUCACCAAGGCAACGAUGCGUAGCCGACCUGAGAGGGUGAUCGGCCACCCUGGGACUGAGACACGGCCGAGACUCCUUCGGGAGGCAGCCGUAGGGAAUCUUCCGCAAUGGACGAAAGUCUGACGGAGCAACGCCGCGUGAGUGAUGAAGGCUUUCGGGUCGUAAAACUCUGUUGUUAGGGAAGAACAAGUGCUAGUUGAAUAAGCUGGCACCUUGACGGUACCUAACCAGAAAGCCACGGCUAACUACGUGCCAGCCGCCGCGGUAA